CUAGAUAACAACCUGUUUAUAAUGACGUCUAAAGUAGCCUUAAUUUUUAAAAUAUUAUCAUUCUAUAAAUUGAUUGCAGGUGUGUCUUUAGUAAUAUUCUCAUGAAGCUAUAAAUCAGUUACAGCUGCAAUGACUACAAUGAUGACCCAUACACACCACUCAACACGUGAACCAUAUGAAAAAGACAGUCUAGCUUUCUACUUCGAUGAUUCAUCGAACUAUUUGAUACUUAAAACAAAGGGUUACUGCUACUUCAUGGCUUUGACUUUUGCUGAACAACACAUGGUACACAAUCCUGAUGGUAUGAGGAGAAUAGAGACUCAGAUGUUCCAUUUUAUGACGUCUGCUACUCACACAGCAAUGACAGGAGGUGAUCAUGCCCAUGUUUCACACUAUGUCUACAAUAGGCACUGCGCUAAGGAACAUAUGAUUAAACUUGUACAAUAAACACAAUAUUUGCACUUUUA